rnacentral:rRNA from 1 species
UACGUAGGGGGCUAGCGUUAUCCGGAAUUACUGGGGCGUAAAAGGGCGCGUAGGCGGUCUGUUAAGUCUGGCGUUAAAGCCUGGGGCUCAACCCCAGAUCAGCGUUGGAUACUGGCAGGCUAGACGGUUGGAGAGGCGAGUGGAAUUACCAGUGUAGCGGUGGAAUGCGUAGAUACUGGUAGGAACACCCAUUGCGAAGGCAGCUCGCUGGACAACACGUGACGCUGAGGCGCGAAAGUGUGGGGAGCAAACCGGAUUAGAUACCCGCGUAGU